AUUUAAGUAUUUUAAGUUGAAAAUUAUAGUUUGUGGUACUGUAGAUAUCUAUUAUGAUCUUAAAUU
rnacentral:tRNA from 1 species